rnacentral:lncRNA from 1 species
AGUGAAAUUUUACUUAGGAUGACCAUAUCUGACAUUACCCGGACCUAUGAAUGGGGUGCUGAUGAGGGGCGAUGAUGUUCAACCUUUUCUGAAUUGCAUGCCAUUGAGCAAUCAAGGCAGCUGUGGGUAUCUAAUUUGAGCUGAUCUCUCCCCUCUUGAAGCCUAUUUAACCAUCUCUUAUUGUUUGUGGUUCUGUGCCUAGGAUGGUCAUUCAGAUAUGCGACAACCAGCGCAGUUCCACUUAUAUUAGGAUGAGUAAAUUGUGCAGCAAGAGGUGUGAGGGCUUGGCUUGUAUGAUCGAGCAAAGGCGAAGCUGAGCCCUCUUAGUACUAUUUCAAUACUAACAGCUUUGUCUUGCUGUACAAUUCAUAGUUUUCUUUUUCUCUUGUUUGAGUGUUUCAUCUUUCAACUAUUGCCAGCCUUCAUUCUGAAGUCAGAAUUCGGCAUUAGGGACUGCUCUUCCAUGCACUUGCAUGGAUGCCCUUUUGGGUUGCAGCAUCAAAUUAAGAGAAGAAUGUUUCCCUUUUUCUAAGAGUUGAUUCUUUUCUAAGAGUGUCAAUUUCACUUACAUGCAUGCCUUUUAGAAUUUGGGAAUGCCAUCUGUAAAUGGACCCAGUAUAUACAAAAUGGGUUGCUGAUGAGUGGCAAUGAUGAUCAGCCCUUUUUAAGGACAUGCCUUUGAUAAAUCGAGGCAGCUGUGGCGUCAAAUUUGACCUUGAACCUCUGUGUUGCAGCUUAUGCGAUCAUUCCUUGUUUGACCUUGAACCUCUCUCUCUGCCCUCCUUUCCUGGUGGUGAUGGCAACUAGGCAAGCCGUGGCCCCCUUCACACAUCAUCAUCAGGCCCUUUGCUGGUGACGAGCAUCCACCAGGUAUGCUCGCCCCUUCUCUUCCCUUCCUGUUGUGCUAAACAGAGCACCCCAAACCCUAAUGUAAGCUAUUUGUAUUCGGAUCUGAUCCAGUUACAAGUAUAUGUAUGUGUUAUACCUACAAGCUUUGAUUUUAUUUAUUUAUUUUUUGCAAAAAAAAGUCAGGUGUACAUGUGUACGCCCUUGUCCUAUACUUGGUCCGUCCUCCCCGCUCUUCAGCAGCCGCAAGCAGGGCAGUGGUGGCAGCAAGGGGUCGGAAUUGCAAGUCAGGCUUUUGUUUAAGCACUUUCUGCUUGCAAUAUUUUUAUUUGACUUGGAAUUUUCAAUGCCCCUCUUGAAACAUCCCCUCAAUAAAAGAGAAAAAGGAUAAAAGAAAUCUCAAUCAAUGUUCACUCUACUUCCACUGCUGUAUGAUCUUCGUUUUUGUUUGUUCUACUCUUGAGUGGCUAUGAUGAUUCAUCUGUAGCAUUGUUUUAGCUGGUACCUGGGAUUUUUGUUCUAUUUGUUGCUUAACUAGGAUGGCUUGUACAUCAAGUAACCAGUUCUACAGCCAACUGCGGCAGCUGAUGGCUGUUACCGCUGAUACUGAUGACAGCUGGUGGCCCGUCUGAACUGACAUUGCUGUUUCAUUUAAGGGGGGAGAGAGAGAGCUUAGAUUGUGUUGCAGCUGAUAUGGUACCUAAUCUGCUAUUUGAUUUGAUUUCUUCAAACCUUUUGUUUUUUUACUCCUUUGAGCUCUUAUCUACUUAUUUCUUUAUGCUCUUUUGCAAGUCCUGCAGUUGAUGCUCUACCAAUCCGCGAUUCUGUCUUGCGUUGCUGCCACUGAUCUCAAGGGUCGUUCUUCACUUCCCUUCCUGCUGGAUUCGAACCUGGGACCUGGGUCAAUAUUAUUGGGACUAAUAUGUCCAGUCAGUUCAAUCUCACGAGUGAGCUUUGGCUUCCUGCAAGAAUGAAUAAGAUAAAAUUCCAAUGAGGGGCAAUGAUCAGCAAUGAUGUCUGAUAUAAGCGCCUUUGAGGCAGGCUGCUCUGGGCAUCAAACUGGAAUCUUCCCUCUCUUGGAAACCUUAUCAACUAUGCGCUAAUGGCUUUGUCCUUGGAUGGUCAUGCCAUUCUUCAUGGGUGAUAACCAGGACAGCUCCUCUUUCAGAACAGGUUUAUAGGGUGGUAAGAGAAGGUGGGGAAUGCAGUUAUAUGAUGGAGCAAAGGCGAAGCUGAGCCCACUCAAAUGUUUUACUGCUACCCACAGUAUUUUAUGUGAUCGGUUUUUUGUUGAAUAUGUUGUUGCUUUGUGUUUUAUGUCUAACCUAUUUACCAACUUACUUUCUUUUUGCUGUAUUUGUAUAACUCCAUGCAGUUACCUUGCCAAUUGCGUUCAUUGGCAAGUUGUGACAUUUCUUAAUUUUUGCCGUUAAUUCUGCUAUAUUUGUUUGCAGUAUCCUGCUGCAAUAUCAGUGGUUACAUUACCUGAAGAUACUUUCAGCUAGCUUAGUGCAUCUACAAAUUUCUUGCAAUAAUUUAUUGAGUUAUGUUGGACCUCCGUGAGUUUGGACUCUGGAGGCAUUGUGUUAUUGGGAAGUACUAACUUUGGUCAUCACAACUAUUAUAUCCAUGCUGCAUUGAUAGUGAUGCAAGUUAUAUAUAUUUUGGGUCAUUGGGUCAACCCAAAAAGUUGAUAAAAUGAACUAGAAUGGUAUUCCACGUAAAUAAUUUGGGAGGAUAAAUAAACUAGUGCCAUGCCAUCGUAAUUAAUUUGACCCAGAAAACGCUAUUGGGUACCCACUUGCAUUCCUUUUGUUUUUCGGAAUUUUUUUGUCACUUUUGUCUGUUGAUCUUUCUUUCUUCUUUUGUACUGUUCUUCCGUGGCUGUGAUGAUUGGAUGCCCCAUAAAAGUGUUGCUUUUUAGCAUCCCUGAAUUGUUGUUUGCUUGGGCAUUUUUCUCAAUUUACUGCAUUAACUAGGAUGGCUUGUACCAUAACAAGUAACCAGUUUUUGCAACUAAUUGUUGUCAUUGCUACUGCUGUGGCUUUGGUCAUGGUGGUGUUGGAGGAGAUCUAUCUAGGAAUGAAUGAUCCUACUUGAAAAGUUCAUUGUGUUGGUAUUGGGGCAGAUCUGAGCCAUUCAAGUGACAUUACUGUUUGUUCCAUCAUUUGCUCGUACAAAGUUAUAUUUCUCGUUUGCUGUCUACUUAUAUUCCUUAAUGUUAUCCAGUACUCUCCAGUGAGUGAUUUCAACUUGGGAUCUGGAUGAUGGCAAUGGGACUAACAUUUCAACUCCUGUCUCCCGUCUCGUAAAAUUUGUAAUGCAUUCAGGCUUGGGUAGAUUCCUUGUUUUGUUUGUUGGGAUGCCCCAGCUUACUUGGUGAAUUGAUCAUUUUCUUUUGGGCGGGUGGGGAGAUUAUAUUGUGCUUCCACUGUAAGUUUUUUUUUCCCAAACACACAGGAGGAGCUGCGUAUCACUAUAUGAAGAAAACUAACACUGUAAGUUGUCAUGCUGAUAGUGGGUAAAUUUGUGCCAUUUAAGUGACCUCUUUUUUCUUUAUUGGACCCUUGUUUGAAUAACCGCUUGAAUUUCCGGAGUCUUUCAAUGACAGAUCAUGUUGAGAUGUGUCAUGGAUUAACUUUGGAAUAGGUUUGGAAAUCUAAAACCGGCUAAAUCACCCUAUGAACUAUGCAAAAUCUUCUAGACAACCCCCUGGUGGAUUUGAAGGGUGGUUUUGCUGCUGUUGCAUCUUAUAUGGCAGCUAAGAUGCUCUUUGAAUUGCUUCGAACUUUUAUUCGGUUUGGUACUCUUUUGAGCUCUUAUCUGCUUAUUCCUUUAUGCUCUUUUGUAUGUCCUGUUGGUGUUGGUGCUCUACCAAUCUGUGAUUUUCUUGCAUUGCUGAACCUUAUCCCAAGGAGUGUUUGCCCUCCUCCUGAAUUUGAACCUGGGAUCUUGGUCAAUGUUAGUGGGACAGAAAGUUGAGUUAAUUCCACCUUACCAGUUCCUGCCUAAGUUUCCUUCAAGAGCGAAGAAGUGAAAUCCUUAAGGGGUGAUGAUCAACAACCAUGGCUGACACAAGCACCUUUGAGCAAUCGAGGCUAUUGCGGGUAUCAAACUGGAAUCCUCCCUCUCCUCUCUUGGAAACCUUUACAACUAUGAUCUAAUGAUAGUGGCUUUGUCCUUGGAUGGUCAUGCCAUUCUUUAUGUGUGAUAACCAGGGCAGCACCACCUAUCAGAAUAGGUUGAUCUGGUGCAAUGUUAUACAGUCAUCCAACUAAUCGCGGCUAGUCGGGCUCAUCGCCCCCCUAGCAUCGAUAAGGACCAACGACUAGGCAUGAGCGACUAGAAAGUUAGUCGUCCGGUUAGUCGUCGCCUAAUCGUGAUUAGUCGUCUGAUUAGGCUUAAAAACGAUCAGGUUUGAGAGUUGAGACAUUGGGUUUUGGCUGGUGGGUGGUGGGCUACUUGGUUGGCAAUUAGGCCCAUUAGGCUACAGGUGCUACUGAGAGCCAAAAUUGCUCGCAAUGCGUCGCCGCCCGCCUACCCAAAAUCGCCUGGCACCAUCCAGCCACCCAGGAGGCCGCUGUCGUCGGGGAGCUGCCCAUGAGCUUCACGUUCCUAGGAGCUCCCCGUCUUCCCAGUUGGCUCGAAGCUCGCUGCCGCCCAGCCCUAGGAGGUCGCACUGUUCGUGAGCAAUCCGCAACUUUAAGAUGAGCUCAUCCUCCGAUGGUACGUUUUGUGCUCUGAUCUGCUGCUUUUGCUUUUAUGCUUGCCCUGCUCUUGCUCUAAUCUCCUCAGCUGCUGCUCUGCUCUUGCUCUGCUCUCCUCUGCUGCUGCUCUAGUGCUUGCUCUGCUCCUGCUUCAAGUUGCCAACUGACCAUCAUUUGUGGUGUUGAUGCUUGCUGAAUACUAUGCACUAUAUAGUAUACAUAUCAUAUCGGUCCUUGUAUGUAUGGACGACUAGGACCGACUAGAACCGACUAAUCGGAUCUGAUCGACGACUAAUCGUGACUAAUCACCUUAUCGGUGUCAUGGCAACUAGGUCCGACUAGAUGACUGUAUAACAUUGAUCUGGUGAUAAGAGAUGAUGGGGAUACAGUUAUAUGGUGAGCAAAGGCGAAGCUGAGCCUACUCAAAUUUUACUGCUACCAGCAGAUCGUUUUAUGGAGUUUCCUUCAUUUUUUAGUUGAAUAUAUUUUCGCUCAUUUUUAUUCUCUCCAUUUUUUUUUGCAAUACUUUUGGAGUUAUGUUUUAGGGUCCUGUACUCCUGUUGGAGCUGGGGUGAGUUUGGACUUUGGACUCUGGAUGCAUUGUGUUUUUGGCAGUUACCACGUUGGGGCCAUCUCAACUACUAAUACACAUGCAGUGUUGAUCCAUUUUGCCACUUUCCAUGCACUAUUUUGGGUUUUCAGAUUGUUUUCUGGUGUCACUUUUGUCUUGAUAUUCCUUGUUUUGCACUGUUUUUCAAUGGCUGUGAUGACUGAAUGCCCCAUAGAGCUAUUGCCUUUUAGCAGCCCUGAACGUAUGGAUAUUUUGCUCAAUUUGCUGCUGAACUAGGAUGGCUUGUACCAUGGAAAGUAACCAGUUUUGCAACUAAUUGUUGCCAUCGCUGCUGCAGUGGCUGCGGUGUCGUAAUACAUAUUGGAAUGAACAAUCAUACUAAAAAAGGUUCAUUUAGCGCCGCCGCCCCUUCGAGCGCCGCCACCCCUCCUCGCCGCCGCCUGAGCGGCCCCCAGAAGCCCUCGUGGCUGCAAGGAAGGCGACGGUGGGGCUCCACCACCCUCCUCUCUUUUCCUUCCCACCCUCGCGCUCUUCUUGGUGGCAUCCAUGGCGGAAGCGGCGGUCGUCGGUCAUUCGCGGUCGGAUUUGCGCCCUCAGCCGUCGGAUUCGCACCCUAGGCUGCUAGAUCCGCUUCCCUCAGGCCUUGGCGUGUUGGGAUUUCUGAUGGCGGUGGUGGGUUCGGCAAAGGCGGCGCGUGCUCGCCUGAACGGCGGGCGCCGGCGCGCGGCGCCUCGGGGUCGUACUCUCCGCCUGCAGCCUCAUCCUCCUGCGGGCAGCUCCCCCUGACCUCCCUCUCGACCAUUGAGGUGAGGUGCGUGGGUGUUGAUUUCACGGAGUGCUCAGUCGUGGUGGCUGUGGGCUCACGGUGCUGCUGCAGUGGUGGAAAGCAACGCGGGGGUUGACGGCGCCAAAAUGGCGCCCUGGCCUGUGCGUAGGCGGAACGGCAUGAGGCCGCAGCACUCGGUCGCUCUUUGGCUCGGCCACUACGUACCGUUGGUGCCUUGGCUGGGCCAUGGUGUUGCCGCCAUCUACGGCGCCUGCUGCUCGACUACGGCGGCGUCGACGACUGGUGCUGCACCGCCGGCAGCCUCGUCCACGAUCGGCGGAGCUUUGGCUGCCACGGUCGCGUCUGCGGUUCGGUUGUGGCGGCGUCGGCGAUCGGUGCGAGCAUGGUUGCGACUGUGACUAGCCGUGGCGGCGCAUGCAGCCAGCGCGCCCCAAUGAUGCCGAUGAUGUCUUGGGCGGAUGGCCUACAGUGGGUGCUGGGUGAAAGCUCUGCCUAGCAUAAUGCUAGGCCUGAUGACGGUGAUGCCUUGGGGCACCAUCUUCCUUCUUGAAGGUGUUGUCGUAGCACCACUUGCUCCAAUUCCACUCGGGGGGGGGAGUGAAAACCUAUUUUCAAUCUUCCAAUUUAGUGAUGGCGAUGUGUGUUUGACGUCGUCCCCUUGAUGAAGGCAUCGCUUUGGAGAUACUCUCGAAGGCAUCGCUUUGGAGAUACCCUCCUGCCACUUCUCAGGACCACCCAUGGUGAUGCUCAUCCUCCUUCCACACCAUCCAUACAUACACUUCUUCCAUCGUGGACAAUUCGUGGACAAUGGUUGUCGACUUCCAUCCAUACAUACACUUCUUCCAUCGUGGACAAUGGUUGUCGACUUCUAUCGUGAUUCGGUGACUGUUCCCUAGCACCUCUGCUCCGUCAGUGCUCUCCUUGUUGAUGGUGCCAUCAAAUCUUAUGCCGGGUAGUUCCACCUCUACUACCAUCCCUCUCGAGGUUUCCUCCCCUUGUACGUCGUUGGGUGGCGGUACGUGGAUCCCGGAUGUGCGACAAAUGUGGCGGUACGUGGAGCCCGGAUGUGCGGCAAAUGGUGUUAGUAUGCUUCAAGGGAGGUCCCCGUGUCCAGCGUGUUUUGGUUUGCGUGCCUCCUACCACCUUUAGUCCCCAUUUCGUUGGCCUAGCUCUCUACGCGUUUUGGUUUGUGUGCCUCCUGCCACCUUUAGUCCUCAUUUCGUUGGCCUGGCUCUCUAAUAGAGGGUGACAAUGGAGCGUGGCUCUCUAAUAGAGGGUGACAAUGGAGCGGUGGCUCUCUAAUAGAGGGUGACAAUGGAGCGGUGUAGUUAAAGGGGUGGAUUGGAUGUGCAAUAUCCAUGAUGUACCUGGCGAGCAUGUUGUUCUUUGGAGACUCAAAUCGGCGAUCGAUGGUUCUUCAGCCUAAAUCAUAGCCUUUCACUUGAGGUGUCUGUAUUGUGUUUCUACGUAUGUUGUACUCUGGUUGUAAACCUCUCGUGUUUUUCUCUUGCUAAAAAUCAAGACCAGUUUUGGCCUACCUGAGGCUCCAUAAUGAAAUUUAGGUGGGGAUUCUCUCCCCCUCGUGACCCUUCAAAAAAAAAGUUCAUUUAGAGAGGGAAGGAGGGUAGGAAACAUUGUGUUGACAUUAAGGGCAGAUGUGAGCCAUCCAAGUGACUUGAGCCGACUUUGGCUCAAGUGCGUUCGUUGUUUCCUACUUCAGCUUCAGUUAUAAUUCUCUCCUGUUCUCUAUCUACUUAUUCGUUCUUGCUAUCCAUUAUUCUCCGGUCAUUUCAACACGAGUCUUGGUUCAUGGUAAUGCAAUAAUGGGACUAACAUGUCAACUCUUGGUCUCAUCGUAGUUUCCUUGUUUUGUUUGUUGGGAUGCGCCACCAGCUUACUUUGACAAGUCUUUUCUUUCCUGCAGGCUCUCAUAUUUAGCUUACUGGUUUUUCAGUUUUAAUGAACGAUCUGAUCACCAAUUGAUCUAGUUGAAAUUGUAGAGUGAUGUAAGUUUGAGCAAAUUGUUGGAUUCUUACAAAAUAGUAAGCUGGAUUGUACAAACUAGGACCAAAAUUUGUUUAUUUGUUUCUAUUCUACUUGUAAAAGUUGAUUCCACAAUUGGAACAGAUAUAGGCCCUUAAGGCCUUAAUAAAGCAACAAAUUUGUUCAAAGGAACUAUAAGGAACUAUUAUGUUUUGGCUCAACCUAGCACUUAGAUUUUCGUUCUAUUAUUUCAGCAGAUCAGGUGGCCAUCCAUCUUCUCUCCUACUUAACGCUAUCAUUGCCUUCCACUGUGAUGCACUAUUGGUUACUAUUGCUCGUCGGUGUCCCCUCUAUGGCCAUUGGUUUUUUGGGUUGCUUCACCUCACUCUCACGCUCGCCCCUACUUCGGCCUCACGCUCGCCCCUACUUCGGCCUUUCUUCGCUGGCUUCGACUGUCAGAAUCUGAUACACCUUUCUGCCAUCUAGUCCUGCUAAUUGGGCUGGAAUCCGAGCUAUAAUCACACCCAUCCAUUCCCAGGAGGGAAAUAAAUACAACCCACCCAAAUCCAUACCUUUGCCACUACAUACCGUACCACCGUAAUCUUUUCAAUGUUUAUUAAGGAAACAAACUCUGGACCAACUAUGAUUUCAACACAUUAAACCCAUUAAGAAUCUGUUAGCUAGCUAGUAACCAAACUCCAUCUUCUUUGAGAUCAAUGUAGAUGUAUCUUGGAUUCCUCGAGAAAAACCCUGUGGGAAAAAUCUAAGGAAUAUGUAUGUACAAAUACGCUAUAAGAACUCCUUUAAACCUUAUAGGAAAGUAAGGAGAAAAUAGCAUAUACGAGUGUGAUUUAAAUAAAUCACCAUGUCAUUGGUAUCCCAUUAAAAAUCUAGUGGGAAAAAUAUAUUGGAGAUACGACAUAUAGAUUACCCCUCAAAACAUUUCAGGAAAAAUAUGAGUAAUAUAAAUUGAUAUGUUGCUAAAACUCCUGUAAAACGCAAUGGGAAAAUUAGGAGAAAAUAUGACAACAUAUUAUUGGUAUUGCCUCUUGAUAACUUACAUGAAAAACCUUUUAAGGGAAAAACUAUGGAUAAGUUGUGAGAGCAAUUUGUGUCUUUGAUAGUUUCCACAAAAACCCCCGGUGGGGAAAAUAGGAAAUAAGACACAUGCUUAUGUUCAUAUUACCUCGUUAAAAACUUUAACAAGAAACCUUGUGAGUAAAACUUGUGAAAGAAAAGAGUUUAAUAUGAUGCUGGUACAGGUUAAUAUUUAGGAGAUAUCUCCCCCUGAUUCUGGCAAAUCUCGAAGUCGCCGCAUACCAAUUCCAUGUACCAAUUUUUGAAAUAUAGAAGUUUGUAAGAACUUAGUAAAUAGAUCAGCGAGAUUAUCAUAUGACUUGAUUUGCAAGAUGUUUAUUUCCCCGCUUCCUUGUAAUUCAUGGGGAUAAAACAGUUUAGGAACAAAAUGCUUAGUGAUAUUGCUCUUUAUAUAACUUGUUUGCAUCUGUGUAACAUAAGCGGACAAGCGGAAUUAUCUUCAUAGAUAAUUGUAGGUGACUCAAUUGAACCAAUACCACAUGAUUGUUGUAUGUGGUUAAUCAUUCUGCGAAGCCAUAUACAUUCUCGUGAUGCCUCGUAUAGAGCAAUAAUUUCAAAAUAAUUAGUAGAGGUCGCUGUCAUAGUCUGCUUAGAAGACUUCCAUGAAAUAGUUGUACCUACAUGUAGGAAUACAAAUCGUGUUUUGGGAUUUUCCGUUAUGAGGAUCAGAUAAGUAACCAGGAUCAGUAUAACCAAUCAUACUGGGAUUAUGAUUUUUCUUGAAGAAUAGACCAAGAUGUUUUGUACCAUUAAGGUAUCUGAGGAUACACUUCGCUCCCGUCCAAUGACAGCGAGUUGGGUUUGCACUAUGCCUAACCAGUAAGUUCACUGCAAAUGCGAUAUCAGGCCUAGUGCAAUUUGCAAGAUACAUAAGUACAUCAAUGACACUGAGAUAUGAGAUUUCUGAUCCCAACAUCUUUUCCCCAAUAUCCCGUGGUCUAAAUGGAUCUUUCCCUACUUCUAAGGAACGAACAACCAUUGGAGUUUUAUUGUGUAUGAUUUAUCCAUAUUAAAUUUCUCCAAUAUUUUCUGGAUAUAGGCUGAUUGAUGCACUAAAAUCCCUUAAGGAUGGUGCUCAAAUUGUAAGCCUAGACAAUACUUGGUCUUACCCAAAUCCUUCAUCUCAAAUUCCAUCUUUAGAUGUUUGCGUGCUUCUUCUAUAUCCUUAGGGCUGCCAAUGAUAUUUAAAUCAUCAACAUACACGGAUAUAAUACAAAAUCCCGUUCGAGAUUUCUUAAUGAGAACACAUAGGCAAACAUCAUUGUUAGUGUGUCCUUUCUUUAGAAGGAAUUCACUCAGUCGGUUGUACCACAUUCAUCCUGACUGCUUGAAGCCAUAUAAUGACUUUUGUAGUUUUACACAAUACAUGUUGCGAUUUGCGUUUGAUUCGGAAUUUGGAUUCCAUCGGGAACCUUCAUGUAUAUGUUCGAAUCAAGUGAUCCAUAUAGAUAUGCUGUCACCACAUCCAUUAACUGCAUAGAUAGAUGAUUUUGAACUGCCAAUGAUAUUAAGUAUCGAAGAGUAAUUCCACUCAUUACUGGAGAAUAAGUUUCAUUGUAAUCAAUGCCAGGUCUCUGCGUGAACCCUUGUGCUACUAAUCUCGCUUUAUAUCUCACCACCUCAUUGUUCUCAUUCCGUUUUCGAAUGAAAACCCAUUUAAAGCCUACAGGAAAGACUUUGGAAGGUGUAGGUAUUGCAGAUGUGAAUACCCCUCUUAUAGUGAGCGAGGCUAUCUCAGCUUGAAUUGCUUCUUUCCAUUGAAGCCAGUCCGAGUGCAUUUUGCACUCUGCCAUGGUCUUGGGAUCUGGAUCAUUGAGAAAGACUUCUGCAAUUGCUGCGGAGAAGGAUAUGUCGACAACAGUAGUCUUACGAUCGUAUGAUUCUCCUGAAUCUAUGUAAUUGAUGGAAAUUUCUUUCACCCCAUUAUUUGACUCUACAUUUCCCAAAACUAUGGAGUCAGGAUGUUCCGAUAUCCUAGGAUCAGAAUUUGGAUGCACCAUUGAUCCGGGUUGUGGAUUUUAUCUUGAUGUUGGAUUUUUAUCCAUUAUUGGGUGUCUACCAACCUGAGGUUCGCUUGGAUUUACUGAUUUGGAGGACUUAGUCCUCGAUAUCCUCGGACGCUUACUUGGAGCAUUAUCCUUAGGAGCGGCUGUACUUUUCCCCUUCUUCUUUGGAACUGGGAGUUGAAUGGUUUUUAUUGGUACCUCCACUCUUUCAGGCGCAUUGCGAGCAGUAUAAGAGGAUUUAGUGACACCCUUAUAAUCAGUAAAUGCUUCUAGCAGGUUAUUUGCAAUAUGUUGCAAGUUUAUGAUUUUCUGAACUUGUUGUUCAGUCUCUAGAGUACGUGGAUCUGAGGGGGAAAUGCCUUGAGCAUUCCAGAUGAUUUCCUGGCAUUCUAUUUGGUACUUGAAGUCUGCCCCUAAUGCCGGGAAAUGGUCCUCAUUAAUAUAUACAGUCGACGUAUCGGGUCGUGAAUAAGUCCCCUGUAAGAGGCUCGAGGUAUUUGAUAAUUGAUGGAGAUUGAUAUCCCACAUAGAUACCAAGUUUCCUAUGUGGGCCCAUAGAAGUACGCUUAGGCAGUGAGAUCGGUACGUAUACAGCGCAACCGAAUUUUCACAGAUAGAAAAUAUUUGGCAUAUUCCCACGUACUAAUUGCAAUGGGGACUGCAUGAUAUGCAGUUGGUCGCAAUUGUAUUAAGUCAGCAGCGUGUAAGACUGCAUGACCCUAACUUGAGGUUGGUAGGUUGCAAUUUUGUAAUAACAGUCGUGCAAUGGGUUUAAUUCUUUUAAUAAGAGAUUCUGCUAAACCAUUUUGUGUAUGGACAUAUGGGACAGAGUGCUGAACUUGAAUUCCCAAAGUCAUACAAUAAUCGUUGAAAGCUUUUGAGGAAAAUUCAGCAGCAUUGUCCAUUCGAAUUGAUUGAUUGAUGUUCAGGAUUAUGUGCUCUAAGUCUAAUAACUUGAGCAAUAAUUUUUGCAAAUGCAUGGUUACAAGUGGAUAAAAGACACACAUGAGACCAUCUAGUAGAUGCAUCUAUUAGAACCAUGAAGUACCUGAACGGUCCAGACAGUGGUUGUAUAGGGCCACAAAUAUCUCCUUGAAUACGUUCAAGAAAUUUUAGUGGCUCAUUUGAAUCUUAGCGGGCGAUGGUUGUACGAUCAAUUUCCCUGUAGCGCAUGAAGUGCACAUAAAAUCUGAAGAUUUAGGGAAUUUAGCAGUAUUUAACUCAUGACCAUUAGAAUUGCUGAUAAUUUUUUGCAUCAUCCCCAUACUAGGAUGGCCAAGGCGAUCAUGCCAAGUUUUGAAUGCGUCAAUAUUCUGAAAAAUUACCUUAUGCGCAACAUGUGGUACGGGUUUAAUGUAUGUAUAGUACAAUCCGGAUGAAAAAGAGGGAUUUUUUUCAAUAAUUUGUUUGCUAUAUCCGCUAUUUUUAGUAAUGAGGAGAAUUUCCUCAUUAUUGUCAUCACAUGUUUCUAUAUGAAAACCAUUUUGACGGAUAUCUCUAUAACUUAACAAAUUACGCUUUGAGUCAGGAUACAAUAAUGCAUCCUCAAUUGUAAUUUGGGUACCCAUGGGGAGUACAACAGUGGCACUAUCAGAGCCAAUUAUUGUAGCAUCGCGUCCUGUCGACUGUCAAAACAUUUCCUUGUCUUUUUGUAAGAGUUUGGAAAUACUUUGUUUCUCUAAGUAUAGAAUUAGUGGUACCACUAUCCACGAGGCAUAAUUCCUCCUCCAUCAGAUUGACCCCCGUAGGAACAUGGGUUGUUUAGGAGCAUUCGCAUGUCAGUUGUUCUCUAUUCACGAGCGUGUUGAUAACAUGUUGAAUGUGAAUGUAAAAUGAACAGAGAUUUGGGAACUCCUUUAUGUUUAUUGAUCUCUUUGGAUUAUAUACAAGUGAACAGCCGCGUUGUAUGGACGUGACUGUUCGGGAAAAGGUACCUGUUCAAUGGAACAAUCUACUAACGAAGGGACAUGUCCUUCGUAGUGCUAACUGCUUAUACUAACUAACUGCUAAUUCUCUUCCUCUGUUGAUGAGAUCACUGAGUAUAGAGAGGUGUCUGUUAGGAACAGACACACCGUUUCGUAACACAAACCAUGUUGGCGGAUGAUUGCCCGCUGAAGCCGCUAUAAGAAGACAAAUGACCAUAAUCACAUAAAUAAUCAAAAUACAUAAAAGAAAAUAGAUAAGGAAGAAAACUGCAGCAUAUUCAGUUACAAAUAUAGACAAUGUUAUAAAUCUUGAAGUCUCAGUGACACGAAUUAUUACAAAUUAGUUCCAUCCACCAUGUUAUCCAGAAGAGGUCAAAUUAAACUACUACUAGGAAUGUCAAUUUACUACAAUACUGAAUUGCUGAAGCUAUCUGACAGAAAUGUCAUCUCCUUCAGCUGCGUCAAGAUGUGCUCCAUAUACUCCCGCUGCCAGUUAGACUCACGGUAUCUGGAACUUCUUCCCAUGCCCAUAAGUUCGAAUGCAUUCCAUAGAAACAAUCGCAUCAACCACCAUGAACCUUAUAUGUUCGAUCAAAGCCACUCGUGAACUGGUAAAUAAUCUGCAUAUGUCCUAAAUUUGUGCAGCUAUUUUUUGCCAAUGGUUAGGUAAAAGUUAGAAUUCAAGCAGCUAUCAGUGUGCAUCUGAAAGUUAGCUGGCAGUAGACGUUGACUCGAUGCAAGUUUACCAUCUGGAUGUCAACUGAGACCUUGCCAUGGAAUUGACAGGCUUGGGAUGUGCAAAUGAACCAGAAGCUCAAAGAUGAAAUUUUCAGUCAAGAACUCAAGAUACUAUCAUCACAUUAUGCAACUAAAAACUAUGGAGCUGCAACUUAUCACUACAAUAGAAAAGGCACUGAAUAGAAGGUCCUGUGUAACAAGAUAAAAUUGACUGAUCUUGCAACUACACACAAGAUGCCGAAUGAGAACAGAUGCACGAGAACAGAAAGACUUUUGGAACAUCUUCUUUGACAAAAAUUAAUUUCUGGAACAUUCAACAAACACUUGAGAUUGCCAUUUGCCAAUGUAACUCUUAGCUCUGAUAUCACAUAUUGUUAUUAAAAUUUGCUUAAGAUGUACUCCCUCCGUCCCAAAAAGAAUGAUUUUCGGGGCUUUUUCAGAUAGAUUAGGGGUGAAUGAAAAAGACGCAUGCACCCUUUGUUAGUUCAGUUUGCAUAUAGAAAAUGGAGAAAAUAUGUUUCCAUUUAAUGGUGCAUGUACCAGAUCAAUGCGACAAAUUAUGCAUGCAUAAGAUUCAAAUCCUAGAACGUCAUUCUUUUUGACAAAUUUUGAAUGCUAAAACAUCAUUCUUUUUGGGACGGAGGGAAUAGUCAGGUUAAAAAAGCAAGAUCCUGAAUCUUCAAAGUCAAUGGCAGAUUGGUAGUGUGGUAGUACUUAUUUCAACCAACCAAACAUCUCAAUCAAUCAAGAAAUCAUAAUGACAAGAUACCACCAUAACAAUAUAUAGGAAUUAUGCAUCAAGAAUUCUUACAACAACAACAACAUAGCCUUUUAGUUCCAAGCAAGUUGGGUAGGCUAGAGUUGAAGCCCAACAAGAGCCACAAAUCAGGGUUUAAGCACAUGAAUAGCUGUUUUCCAAGCACUCCUAUCUAGGGCUAAAUCUUUAGGUAUAUUCUAUCCCUUCAAAUCUCCUUUUAUUGCUUCUUCCCAUGUCAAUUUUGGUCUUCCUUGCCUCUCUUCACAUUACUAUCACGCCUUAAGGUUCCACUACACACCAGUGCUUCCGGAGACCUAUGUUGGACAUGUCCAAACCAUCUCAGCCGGUGUUGGAUAAGUUUUUCUUCAAUUGGUGCUACCCUUAAUCUAUCACAUAUAUCCUCGUUCCGAACUCGAUCCCUUCUCGUAUGACCACAAAUUCAACACCACAUAUGUAUUUCCGCAACAUUUAUCUGUUGGACACAUCGUCUUUUUGUAGGCCAACAUUAUGCACCAUACAACAUUGCAGGUCUAAUCAUCUUCAUAUAAAACUUGCCUUUUAGCUUCAAUGGUACCCUCUUGUCAUAUAAAAUUAUCCGAUAUGAUGUCGCUAAGAGGGUUACGCCCCAACGGAUUUCUCUUGGGUUUCAUCUCCAUUAGAAUAGCUAGGUUAAACGUUGGCUCGCCAAGCCUAUCAUAACCCUCCUCCUUUACCAGGGCUUAGGACCUGCUAUGUUGAGACAACAUAGGCGGAGUUGCAGCAAGAAUUCUUACUGGUAAGAAAAAUUAAGGCACCAUACCUAAAUACUAUGAAUUACAUGCUAACACAAACAAUGUCCGCAGGUUAGAAUUGUAAGUUAGAAUUAACAAUGAAACAUAAAUAGUUGUAAGAUUAGAUUAAGCAAGGACGCAUUCCGCAGGUUGAAAGGAGCAAGCAAGCACGCAUGUGAAAACUGGAACUGAAAGAGGCAGGUGGGAGCGUUACGGCCCAGACAUUAGUGAUGCAGUCCUUCAUGUCGCUGCGGCGGCAGUCCCAGCAGAGCUCCUCGAUGGCCAGGAGCCGGCAACAGAGGUCGGCCAUGUUACACAAUCGCACUCCAUCAGGAAGACGCACUUGCGGAGGGUUUCUUCUCCUCCAGCAUCGCUGUGCGCCUUCUUGUCCUCCUCGUCAUCCUCGCCUGGGGCUGGCAGCUGGACCAUCUAGAUGUGGCUGAUGUCAUGAUCCAGGCAGCGCUCCACCUCAACGUUCUCCUCCAUGUUGCAUUGUUGCUAUCACCGGAGCCGGAGUCAUCCUCGCUGGCGGCGCCCUCAGCGUCGGCUCGGAGGUGGGAGCCGAAGGGGAUAACGCGGAGGAGGAGAUGGGGGAGGGGAUGAGGCACGCCUGGAUCUCGUCAGAUUUGACGGCCAUGAGGGAGCACUUCUCGAGUGGUUCUUGGACUCAUCGGACUCGAUAUGUGGUGGCCGCAAAGGAGGUUGGGAUGGGCAGGAAGCAUGGCGUGGUGGUGGUGGGUGAGGUGGAGUCGUGGUGGAUGCGGCAACACGCGAGGCGGCGGCGGAAGGGAGGCGAGGCCCUCGCCUGCAAGUCUGGGAUCUACGGGCUACCUGAGUGUUUAUCCAACCCACUCUUGUAAUUAGCAUGCAACCCAUGGUUUGCAUCGCGUUACAAUCCGAUAAAACGAACCCCACUCCAAUACCUAACCAACCCACUCUAAUCGGCAGUCCAAACCAAACCUACCCAAUAACUUUUCAAUCCAUUACUCACGAAAUCAAUGCAGUUCCAUUCAAAAUCCGAUCCACUAAAACCAUUAACACCAGCCCAAUCAGCAGAGCUACUGCCAUCAAGCUAACCUGGCAAUGGGUGAUGGGGGUGUAUGACUUGCGGAAGCUAGCUAGUCAGCCCAUUAUAUCUAAUUAGCUAGCCCAUUAGGUCAAAAUAUAAAUCUAAAUCAACAUAUCAAUAAGAUAAUAUGAUAGAUUCAACAUUAUCAGAAAAAUAGUCUAACAUCUAAGGUCCUAUUUGUUUGAGCUCUAUAUUUAAUACUCUAAAUUAGUAUGUAAAACAAUUGCACAGAUGAAGUCUAAUUCGCGAGAUGAAUCUAUUAAACCUAAUUAAUUCAUGAUAGCACAUAUUUACUGUCAAAUCAUGGACUAAUUAGGUUUAAUACAUUCGUCUCGCGAAUUAGCCUCCAUCUGUGCAAUUGGUUUUUAAUUAGCUCAUGUUAGUCCUCCUAAUUAGUAUCAAAAUAUUCGAUGUAAUAGGGACUAAACUUUAGUUCGUGGAACCAAACAGCCCCCUUCAUCAAUGAUUAGUCCCUUCGAUUUUGGCAUUGUUUCUUGAUCGGGACAAGUCAUGGAACCCUUUGUUCUCUUUAAAAUGCUCUUGAUUUCUGUAAGGUCAAGUCAUGGAACCUUUUGUUCUCUUUAAAAUGCUCUUGAUUUCUGUAAGGUCCCGUUUGGAUCCCUCCAUUUUAAAGGAAUUAGAAUCUACUUAAUGAAGUAGGCUAAUUAUUUUAUAGGAAGAAGAAUCGUCCCACUUUCCCUCUUGGAAGGAGCAUAGCACUGUAGAACGUGACAUUCCACAACUUUUCAAAGUUCAGAUAUAACUCUAUCUUAAAUUCAUGGGGGUGGGAGAUGGAAAUUGAUUAUAUAGAUCCUCGUGCUAUGUUUCUAAUGUGCAACUUAUAGCACGCUCUUCGACUCGCUUCCCUAUAGCAGAAGUGCAUCACAUAAGUAUCUCUCCCGUAUGGCCAACAAUAAUAUACAAAUAUAUUCCACAUACAAUUAUAUUAGCUUAAUUAAUUUGUGUCUAAAUUAUGAUUAUUAGAAUGUAAUUCAAUUCCAAGGAUCCAAAGGGGCGUAAGAUUAAUUUGUAUUUGAAUCUUGUGUGGCAUGGUUCCUCUAAUUUAGGAUUUGAGGAGGUAUUGAUGGUUUCUCCUUUAUCUUGAACGAACCAUGCGAAGGAGCCACAGAUUAUAUUAAAACGAACUAGGCACUGGUGGUUUCCAGCAUCACCAAUUUUCAAAUUAGGCUUGAUCUAUGGAAUUUCAACUUUCUUUUUGAGGAAAUAAAUUGUAACUAGUUCGUGUUGUAUUUAAGUUCAGCAACUCUUCGGCGCAAACCUUCGGUGGUGACAUAAUUGGAUGGUUUCAAUGUUGCAAGUGCAAUUCUUGUAGAUUCUCAAAAAAGUUCUAUUCCAUGGCUAAGAAGGAAUAAAACCUCCAACAAUAUAGAAUCACGUCAUGUGAGCAGCACUGUUCCAGGAUUGCCCAUUCGACCUAAAUAUUACCUCAGUAACCCCAGCAGCAAUUUGAAGAACCCUCCAACCGUAAAGAGUUGCAGCAAUAUGUGUGAUUUCAUUUAUCAGCUGGUCAGAAGCGUUGAAAGGUCAGCUAGCUUAUAUUAACAUGGGUUUAACUAGUGCCAAAUGUUCCCUUUUCAAAGGAGAGUGUCAUGGCUACGCCAACCACAGCAUCAUGACAUCACCUGCUCCAUGUCGCGCAACCAAACCUGGUGAUGUAUAUGUUCCCCUUCCUCCCCCUAUGUGGAUCAAUGAGUGCUGCCAAUUUGAUCAAUCAGGUUUCAACACAUAAUGAGUGCCAUAGAAAUUUUGCUGGCAGCCAACUGAAUUUGAAUCCAUAGCUCAUAUAUUUGAUCAUGAAUUUUUUGUUUUGCCAAAGCAAGCAUAGGUGUUACUGAAGAGAAAAUGGAAUAUAAACCAAAUUUUCUUGUUUGCAUCAAUGCGUGUCAAUCACAAUAUUUUUGUUUCUUUUUUCCCGAUUCCCACAUUGACCUAAUUAUUAUUAGACUUUUAGGGGACAAAGGGUGAGAACUCUAGUAUCAGAGGGGGGAGGUGGUGCAGAGAUUUUGGGGAAAAAGGCUAAUGCCACAUGAAUUAGUAAGGAGAAAUCACUGUAGCAUUUUUAUCCAAUUUGAGAAUUUUUCCCUUAGGAAAGGAAUAAGGAUGUAGUGCCGGAAAGGAUGAUUUUGAAAAAAACAUAUGAAAAACGAUAAAAGAUGAGAAAUUCAUAAAAUAAUAAAAACAUUAUAGAAAUGAUAAAAAACAUUAUAGACAUUCUUUGUAAAAGUGGAUGUUUUUUUUAAAACAUUAUAACUCUACAUAUAUUCCUUUUGGUUGAAUCUUGCAUGUGUUUGUUUUUGGAAUCAAGUUGUUGAGUCAGCUCCAUCCCAUUUUUUGGGUUGGGUUGGACCCAUAUCAUGUUUAGAUGAAAGGCAACUUAGUUUUUUUGUUUGAUUGAAGGGAUCAAGAGACGUGGGAUGGACACUAGUUUCACACCGUUAGCAACAGUUAUUAGUGGGCCUCACCUGUUAUCCGUGGGGCCAACUAGUCAGCCUCUUAUCUUCUGCCUUUUUUUUUUCCUGUGACGCUUAUCUUCUUCCUCAUGUUUGCCUGCUCUGCCUCCUCACGCCGGCAUCGGAGCGCAUCCCGCCUACACCUCCGCGUCGCGCUGGCCGGCAACCCAGCUCCGCGUCCUCUCUUCCUCUUUCUCCAUGUCGCGCCGCCCGACCGCCCAGCUCCGCCUCCUCUCUCUCUUUCUCCGCGCCACCGCCAGCGGCCUCCUCGCCCCCCUACUCCGCCGCGCCCCUCAACCCCAGUGUCGACGGCCUCCUCAGCCCCUUGCUCCGCUGCCCCUCCUCGACCUAGUGCCGCCGGCCUCCCCCCCUACUCCGCCGCCUCCCCUCAGCCCAGCGCCGGUAGGCGGAGCCCAAGCUGGCCCUGACCAGCUAGCGAAGGUCCCCUAUGCGGAGCCUGAGCUUGCCUCGACCUCCUCCGAGCUGUCUCUACUUGCUCGAUUUGUUGGUGACGGAGGAAACGACGAAGAUGACGGAGAUAAAGUGGGUCGGAGUGGUCUGACUGAUUUGGAGGAAUGCAACCAACCCGUAUCUGGGAGAAUAUUCACUCCAGGGUCCAUCCCAACCUAGAUGAAUUUCAAACCAAACACUCGUAUAUCUGGAUCCAACCUAUUCCAACCCACUUCGACCCUUAAACCAAAUACACCCUUAAUCUAUCUCAUCACGCGCCUCCUUUUUUUUUAAAAAAAGGAUCAUCUUUAGCUUUCAUGGUAGCGUUAGUACAAGCAUUGUACUAAUGGUUGUUAGUUGUCGAGCAAGCCUUUCGUUUGAUGACUAUCACUACUCAUGAUUUUGUACAUAAUUAUAAAUUUUGACCUAUAAAACCACUUGCAUUUGAAUCCAUAUGAGUAGGAGCGAAAAUGAGAUACACAACAUCAUACUUGGAAUAAUGGACAAGAAAUAGAUAAAAAGGUGAAAAAUAAUGUGGAGGUAGCUGUUCCAGCGUAGCAAAAAUCGCAUUGAUUCCUUAGACAUGGAUCCUGCAAGCUAAAUUCUUUUCUAUGAUACUAAGACAAGUGACAACUGUGUAGCUUAAAAAAGAUUGUCUGAUAUGUGUUUUUAAAUAUUGCUUAAUCUAGUUGUUGGAUUACGAUUUUAUUUAGAAACUACUCCGUACCCACAUAAUUUGAUGGGAAAUUACCUGUCAUCGGCCCAAAAUAGUUGAACGCAUUGUUGACCUUUUGACACCUAAACCCUAUAAUCCAACCUACUUAGAAUCCAAAUUGACAAAUAGUCAAACAGAUACAAUAUGUGAUUCUAAAUAUUUGUCACGUUGAUUUUUAGAUACAUUGUUUGACCAUUCAUCUUAUUUAAAAAAUUAUAUAAAUAUCGUUUUGUUGCUUGUUUCGUCUUUAAGAUAUUUCAAGCCUUACUCGUAAAAGGAGAAAGCAUUUCAGGCCUCACUUAUAUAUAUUUGUAUUUUUAUAUUAAAUUCUUUUAAAUAAGAUGAAUGUCACGAUAGAAGAACAAACCUUGUCUAUCUCGUCCACUGUCCACGAGUGCUCACAGCGAAACGCGGUUAGAGACUGAGAGUGGCCCCGCAGUUUAUCGCCGCCUGGCUCCUCCAGCGCCCGCUUCCUCCCAACCCCGCACAAAACCUCGCCGUCUGCGACGAGAUUUUACUCAUCCACUCGUUAGUUUAAGUGUGAGGCCACCGCGUGCGGGGGGCGGCGGCGCGUGCGAGGUGAGCGCUCUAACCUGCGAUUUGGGACGGAGGGAGUACCAUUGCUGCCAGUGCCACCUCCCCCAAUCGCGGCGGCCAGUGAUCACAUCACCGAAACCCGCGGCCCUCGAGGAGAAAACGGCGGCGAUGAGGAAGGGCGCCGCGGUUGGCGCCGGCCCGGCUCCCGACCGGCGGCCCUCCUCGGAUCCACGCCCCCCCGGGGCUACCCCUCUCCCCGCCCCGCCGUUUCGUGCCGGAUUGCAGGCCCUUGGGCGGGCGCCGGUGCUGCGGCGGCGGGUGGGUUGGGGUUGGGGACUGUGGGGGCGGGGUCUGCGGCGGGUCCUGGUCGGGGGGCGUGGUCGGGCAGCGCGGGAUCUGAGCCGCCAUUGAUGGAUUUUUUUCGAGCGCUUGGUUUUGAUCGUCUUGGUACGCUCGCUGUUUCCUCCUCCUCGUCCUUCUUCUCGCCGCCGCCGCCGCCGCCGCCAUCCACCCACUCCACUCCACUCCACUCCACUCCUCUCUCUCUCUCUCUCUCUCUCCCGUAUGUGUAUGUGUGUAUGUAUGUUUGCACAUUCCACUCCCACUGAUCUCGAACCCUAGAUCGAAUCGAGGCUGUGUGCGGGCCAUUCUCACGAGCGGACGUCAAUUCAGGUCCCCAUCUCUACUGUGCCGCCUCGCCGCCGAUCCGUUGCCUUGCACCGGUGGCGGCAGGGGCUGGGAACUGUGCGGUGGCGCCUGACGCGACUGCCGAGUCGGGUUUUGGCCGGCCGCGGUCUACUGAUUCGCUACUCCGGAUGGAUGGAUGGAUGGAUGGAUCAUGGAUAGAUGCAAGGGUCCCGAAAUGGAGCUGAAAAACAUGGAGUGGAGCAGUCCAAAACAGGCCCUUAUUCUCUGUCCCAAUCAUUACUAUACAGCUGCUGCGGCAGCCACAGCGGUGAUCUCUUUAGCCUGCUGUUGCCUGUGUGUGCUGUGCUGUGCCUGUGAUCUGCUGACGGCUCUGCUUUGCUCUGGAUGUUCCUAGCCCUUCCGCUCCUCAUCCUCUCCACCUUGGUGGCAUUUGGAUGGGCAGUGCAAAUGGGAUCAGGAUAUGAGAUGAGAUGAGAUGCAAAAGAGGUGGAUUUUCUGACUUGAGUCAUGGUCAAAGUACCCAGUGUAAGUGAAAUUUUACUUAGGGUGACCAUAUCUGACAUUACCCGGACCUAUGAAUGGGGUGCUGAUGAAGGGCGAUGAUGUUCAACCUUUUCUGAAUUGCAUGCCAUUGAGCAAUCAAGGCAGCUGUGGGUAUCUAUGUAAUUUGAGCUGAUCUCUCCCCUCAUGAAGCCUAUUUAACCAUCUCUUAAUGUUUGUGGUUCUGUGCCUAGGAUGGUCAUUCAGAUAUGUGACAACCAGCACAGUUCCACUUAUAUUAGGAUGAGUAAAUUGUGCAGAAAGAGGUGUGAGGGCUUGGCUUGUAUGAUCGAGCAAAGGCGAAGCUGAGCCCUCUUAGUGCUAUUUCAAUACCAACAGCAUUGUCUUGCUGUACAAUUCAUAGUUUUCUUUCUCUCAUUUGAGCAUUUCAUUUUUCAAACUAUUGCCAGCCUUCAUUAUGAAGUCAGAACUCGGCAUUAGGGACUGCUCUUCCAUGAACUUGCAUGGAUGCCCUUUUGGGCAGCGGCAUCAAAUUAGGAGAAGAAUGGUUCCCUUUUUCUAAGAGUUGAUUCUUUUCUAAGAGUGUGAAUUUCACUUACAUGCAUGCCUUUGCUGGCGAUGAGCAUCCACCAGGCAUGCUCGCCCCUUCUCUUCCCUUCCUGCUGUGCUAUUUUUUCCUUGUAUCUGGGUCAGAUCCGAAUACAAGUAAACAGAGCACCCCAAACCCUAAUGUAAGCUAUUUGUAUUCCGGAAGGCAUAUUGGAGCCCCGCUCCACCCUCCAGUCUCCUCUCAGCUCACUUCCUGCACACGUCUAGUACCUGUCACGCUUUUCCUGGUGUUUAUAUACAGGAGAAGAUACUUCUUAUUGUUCAUGGUGCCGUACGAUCUUUUGUUUUUGUUUGUUCUACUCUUGAGUGGCUAUGAUGAUUCACCAUCACAUUAGAGAGAUUUUGCUCUCUAGCAUUGUUUUAGCUGGUACCUGGGAUAUUUGUUCUAUUCGUUGCUUAACUAGGAUGGCUUGUACAUCAAGUAACCAGUUCUGCAGCCAACUGCGGCAGCUGAUGGCUGUUACCGCUGAUACUGAUGACAGCUGGUGGCCCAUCUGAACUAACAUUGCUGUUUCAUUUAAGGAGAGGGAAAGAGAGAGCUUAAAGUGUGUUGCAGCUGAUAUUGCACCUAAUUUGCUAUUUGAUUUGAUUGCUUCAAACCUUUUGUUUUUUACUCCUUUGAGCUCUUAUCUACUUAUUUCUUUAUGCUCUUUUGCAAGUCCUGCAGUUGAUGCUCUACCAAUCCGCGAUUCUGUCUUGCGUUGCUGCCACUGAUCUCUAGGGUCGUUCUUCACUUCCCUUCCUGCUGGAUUCGAACCUGGGACCUGGGUUAAUGUUAUUGGGACUAAUAUGUCCAGUCAGUUCAAUCUCACGAGUGAGCUUUGGCUUCCUGUAAGAAUGAAUAAGAUAAAAUUCCAAUGAGGGGCAAUGAUCAGCAAUGAUGUCUGAUAUAAGUGCCUUUGAGGCAGGCUGCUCUGGGCAUCAAACUGGAAUCUUCCCCCUCUCUUGGAAACCUUAUCAACUAUGUGCUAAUGGCUUUCUCCUUGGAUGGUCAUGCCAUUCUUCAUGGGUGAUAACCAGGACAGCUCCUCUUUCAGAACAGGUUGAUAGGGUGGUAAGAGAAGGUGGGGAAUACAGUUAUAUGAUCGAGCAAAGGCGAAGCUGAGCCCACUCAAAUAUUUAACUGCUACCCACACUAUUUUAUGUGAUUCGAUUUUUUUGUUGAAUAUGUUGUUGCUUCAUGUUUUAUGUCUAACCUAUUUACCAACUUACUUUCUUUUUGCUGUAUUUGUAUAACUCCAUGCAGUUACCUUGCCAAUUGCGUUCAUUGGCAAGUUGUGACAUUUCUUAAUUUCUGCAGUUUAAUUCUGCUAUAUUUGUUUGCAGUAUCCUGCUGCAAUAUCUGUGGUUACAUUAUAUGAAGAUACUUUCAGCUAACUUAGUGCAUCUAAAAAUUUCUUGCAAUAAUUUCUUGAGUUAGUUGGACCUCCGUGAGUUUGGACUCUGGAGGCAUUGUGUUGUUGGGAAGUACUAACUUUGGUCAUCACAACUAUUAUAUCUGUGCUGUGUUGAUAGGGAUGCAAGUUAUAUGUAUUUUGGGUCAUUGGGUUGACCCAAAAAGUUGAUAAAAUGAAUUAGAAAAUAAUUUGGGAGGACCAAUAAACUAGAGUGGCAUGCCAUCAUAAUUUAUCAGCUGACCUAGAAAACACUAUUGGGUACCCACUAGCAUCCCUAUGCGUUGAUCCAUCUGGUAUAGUAUGCAUUCCUUUUGUUUUCGGAAUUUUUUUUGUCACUUGUCUGUUGAUCUUUCUUUCUUCUUUUGUAUAGCAUCCCUAUGCGUUGAUUCAUCUGGUAUAGUUCCUAUGCAUUCCUUUUGUUUUCGGAAUUUUUUUGUCACUUUUGUUUGUUGAUCUUUCUUUCUUCUUUUGUACUGUUCUUCCGUGGCUGUGAUGAUCGAAUGCCCCAUAAAAGUGUUGCUUUUUAGCAUCCCUGAAUUGUUGAUGCCUUGGGCAUUUUUCUCAAUUUGUUGCAUUAACUAGGAUGGCUUGUACCAUAACAAGUAACCAGUUUUUGCAACUAAUUGUUGUCAUUGCUACUGAUGUGGCUGUGGUGUUCUGGUAUUGGAGGAGGUUUAUUAAUGAAUGAUCCUACUUAAAAGUUCAUUGAGAAAGAGAGAGAGAGAGAGAGAGAGAGAGAGAGAGAGAGAGAGAUAGCAUGGUUCUUCCACCAAGUAUUGUGUUGAUAUUGGGGCAGAUCUGAGCCAUUCAAGUGACAUUACUGUUUGUUCCAUCAUUCAUUCGUACAAAGUUAUAUUUCUCGUUUGCUGUCUACUUAUAUUCCUUAAUGUUAUCCAGUACUCUCCAGUGAGUGAUUUCAACUUGGGAUCUGGAUGAUGGCAAUGGGACUAACAUUUCAACUCCUGUCUCCUGUCUCGUAAAAUUUGUAAUGCAUCUAGGCGUGGGUAGGUUCCUUGUUUUGUUUGUUGGGAUGCCAGCUUACUUGGAUGAAUUGAUCAUUUUGUUCUAAAGGAUAUUUUCUUUCCACAAGCUCUCUUAUUAACUACUGCAUCCAAUCUCUCUGGUGGUUACCCAAUGUCUCCUUACUGCAGUGGCAUGAUGUAUUGACUUGAAGGUUCUUUCUAGCAGCCAGUGAUGGCAUCAAGGGUCCUAAUUGCGUGCCAUGAGCCCAUGGCCAUGCCGCGUUGUGUGUGGAAGAAAUUGCCUGCUCCCUGUCGAGUGGCAUUGACAAUCUUUUUUUUAACUAACCAGGUAGGAGAGCUGGUAAUACAACCAAUGGGAAAAAAACGACAACAACAGGAUGGCUAGCCGGAUUGGGACAUCGACAUACCUUGCACUCAAUUCCUUGAACAAACUACUCUGGCCGGUCGGAUUCGGCUAUUGACACACGCCAAACUCAACUCUUCACAAUAAAGGUCGGAUUCGGCUAUUGACACAUGCCAAACUCAACUCUUCAUAAUAAAGUGCUCCGGCUAGUUGGAUCGGGAUAUUGAUAGUAGCCACGCAACGCCCCGCUCCACUCAAACCUCCACAACAUACAGCUCCGCGCUAAUGACCUCGGCACCUGCAAAGCCACCAUGGCACCUGCACAAUGCCAACACCCCACCGCUACCACCUCUCUCUUUUUUUCUUUUUUUUAAAAAAUAGAAAUAGAAACUCUCCGUAAUGGGCAUGAUGCGAGCUUCUAGAGUGACUGAAGGGGUGUGACAUCACAUGCGUGUUGACGGCUGUUAGCACGUCAAGUUGUGAACCGCAAGUGUAUGGAUCAGUUGUCGUUCUUUCCUCAGAGUAGUUGUAGUUGUCGUUCUUUCCUUAGAGUAGUUGUAGGUUUAUCAAUCCGUGGAAUUUAUGUACAACACAUUGUUAGUAUUAACUUGGGGAUUGUUAGUAUUAAUUUAGUAUUUAUGAGAGAUUCAGAUUCAAUCUACUAAGCAAGCAUGUACAGAUAGAUAAUAGACAGAGCAAAGGUAAUCAAUCUAGAGCAUAGACUAUGCAUAUGUUGUAAUUCUGAGCAUGGAUAGCAAAGCAACACAUAUAUGAUCUUAGUAAAAAGCGUCUUUAAAUUUACACCUUCUGUUCGGAUCCUGAAAUCCCCACCUUACGCAAGAAAGAUCCUAUCAUGAUCACCUCUAUCAGCGCAAGUAGGUUAAGGGUACGAUCAUAAGAUUAUGUCAUACUCAUCGGUAGAUCAGGCAUGCAAAUCUGGUCACCAUGAUCACAAGAACACUAUAGGCAAUCUAUCGUCGAUUCAUAGAUUGAAAAGCAAGCAAAUUCGAUAAAACAUAAAACCAUCAAAGGAGAUACUUAAAUUGCUAAGAACAUGAACACAUCUAUUACUUCACCAUGAAUGAUUGUACAUCACAAGAUUACCACCGGGAUCCUAUCUUAAUCUUGAUGACUUCUAGCUCCAGAACUCCAGCGUGAUCUUCCUCGCAGGGUGAUCACGCCGGCAGAGGUUCGCCUACGCUAGCGUCCGACAACUGCACGACCCUUGGCUCUCCGGAGAGGUGUCCUUCAAGCUCCUUUUGCUUCUUUGCUGCUUCAUGUCGAGUACGUCGUCUUGGAUAUGGGGCUCGGUGGAUUUUUCAAGGUAUUUAUAGUCCAUAGAGUGCGUGGUAAAAAUUGGAAGGCGAGGGGGGUGAAGGAAACCUCUAGACCAAUCGACCUGGGAGGGUUCAGGCCGAUCGGCCUGGGCCUUCCUUUUGGCCCCUCGCAUCUUGCCUCGUCUCCAAGUCUCCUCUGGUGCUUUGAAGUCCUAUUUUCACUGGCAUGUGGGGCUGGCACAUCGGUUACUUCGGGAUGAGAGUGAUCUUCAAUGACUUUCCAAAUCUCCGCUUGAUCUUCUUUGAUUCCUCUUUGAUCCUGAAGUGAUUCUUGCCAUAUCUUCACAAACUUAGCUCUUAAGCCACUCGGAGGAUUGCUUGCUAAAGAUGGGUGUUGGAAGACUCCAAAAGACCCUAGGUCGAUCCGCAUGGUCUCCUCUAGGCCAAUCGGCCUAGGCUGAUUGCUUGCCAAAGAUGGACGUUGGAAGGCUCUAGAAGACCCUAUGACGAUCGGCUUGGGCUCCUCUAGGCUGAUCGGCCUAGGCCCUUCUUGGGCCUGUUGGUCUCUGUCUUCGUCUGGUUUGAUGCCCGUUCAGUGCUUUAUCCAAAAAUAUACUUUUAGGUUCAAUUCCAUGCAAAAAUAGAACAUCCUCGCACAUGUGAAAAUGACCGGUUUAUUAGGUGUAAUUAAUAGUUUAGGUAUUAAAUUCAUGUCAUUAUUGAAGAUAAACAGGAGUAAAAGUGUGUCAAUAGUGAACGUUAACAAUCCUCCCAUACUUAAACCUUGCUUGUCCCCGAGUAAGUCUUCGAUAGAAAUUAGUGUUACCUUUCGUGUUCAAUCCUGCACUUGAUCACACACAAGAAAACAUAAUGCUCUUAUAGGAUUUUUCAAUUAAUAUUCAAGUUGCAACUAGCCUUCUCUAAUAUGGAGGGUAGAUAUCAUUUAAGCACAUCCCACAAUAAAUUUAUUCUUUUGCUCUCAAUUUUAAACAAACCUCAGAAGAUUUUCAAUAAACAAUUUAAACUUCAUUGCAAUUGCUCGUGUUCUCUCAGCUCAUCAAAUCUCUCAAACCUAUGCUAGAAAAUAUGUGUAAGGCUUUAUCUGGAUCUUUGGGAAGGUUAGUCCUAGCAAAAAUAUUAUAAUCAGGAUAUUAUCAAAACAAGAAAGACUUCUGAUGGAUUUUACUGAGACAUGUCAAAAAGGUCAUGGAAAAUAAUUGCUUAUGGAGAGAGAGAAUGAACACACAUUUAGAUAGUGGACAUGUGCAAGGGCAAAGAGUGAUCGUGAGGCACAAAUGAAGUCCUCGUAUUGGAUUGCACAGGGUUGGAAUAAUGAGUAUGGAGUAAUCCUUAAUCUUGAAAGCACUUGGAAUUUUUAUGAAGCUCAAAGAACCGAGGAUUAUUUUAUUUUUUUUCCUUUCUUUAUUUUUCCCCAAUAUAUAUUUUUUAUUUUUGCUCCUCAGAACUCUUUGCAACAUAUUACUUAUUCAGUAGUAGUCAGAGAUAAUGCGAUAACUCUUCCCCAUGCUUAGACGAUGCUUAUCCUCGAGCAUGAAAAGGAAGAAAGAUAAACUGCUAACGUAAGUACCAAAAGGAAAAAAUUAUCUUACUCCACUGGACGGGCUUCCACGCCAAAUUUCAAGGGCAAUAGAGGGGGAACACCCCAAGCCGAUAGGCAUGUGGGUGGCCAGGUCGAUUGGCCUGGCCUAGCCCCUUCUAGCCUCUGUUUCCUCCCUUUUUAUUCCAUACACUGGGGGUUGCCUUCAGGUCUUGAUUUUUAUGAAAAGGUACUGAAUAAUCUUCUGAAUCUUCGUCAAAAUAUCUUUCAUACUCAAAUUGGGUUGUGGUCAAGGAGAUAGUCACAAAAAUGAUAAUUUGGGUUUAGGUUUGGAUGCCCAGCGAAAUUUGCGAAAUUUCCAGUGUAGAAAUUCACAAUGCAUGGACAGAAAGGUUAGCAAUAAAAGGUUACACAAAAAGAAAUGAUCAGCUUCUAAGUCUCAUACCACAGAAGUAAAUCCUGAAUCAAUUCAUCCAAAAAUAAAUUUUGCAAUCUGUGGCUCAUAAAUAUUUGGCUUUGGAUGGGUAGAACAAUUGCAAAAAGUAUUAUUGACACGGUCAACAUGAGUUGUAACAAAAAAUAAAAGAGCCUUUGAUCCACUUAAAAGAGAGAGCAAUAAACAAAUAUAUGGGUCCAAAUUAUCAUAACCUCCAUAAAAAGAUAAGACGGUAUUUAUAUCAAUUUUAGUUCGUGUUAGAGAGAGCAUUAGUUCAAUGAUGUAAUAAUCAAGUACAAAAAUUAAACAAAGCGACAACUAUCAUCAUCUUUCAACAUGACAAGAACUCAAACCAUCACAAUUAAUCACAUAGCAUUAUAUUCAGGUGAUGCAUAUUUUAUUUAAGCAUGGUAUGGUGAAAUAAACGCACAAACUUAAAAUAAAGAGAAAAUAAAAUAGAAAAGUAAAAUAGAAAAUACUACGCAUACCCAACACACGUGCCGAAAUAAAUAAAAAGAAAAGAAAAGAAAACUCAAACCACACGUGUGCUGUUUUAUUCAUCCCCCUCGGUCUCUAGUCCAGGUCAUCUUGUGGUGGGUCAUAAUGUGGCUCUCCCUGCGGCACUGUCUCCUUACUGUUGGUACUCGUGAUACGCCUGCUCGUAGUGCUCCUGCGCUCCACCUUGGUACUAAUCUGGAGGCACAAUCCCCAGCAUGCCGAACUGAUAGGCGAUGGUUACGUUGCUAUCCUCAAUUCUGUCAGCGACUUGCCUCACAGUACCUGCAUUUUCUAAAUUUCUUUGUAUAUACGCGCCUAUGAUGCGCACACUUCUAUGUGGCUAUGGCAGAUGGCUGUACUGAAUAGACAAUGGAGCAUGUGGUGGGGUCCCUGAAAAGGAGGUGGCAUAUAACCGUGAAAAGCAUAUGGUGCCGGUGGAGGUGGAUGAACCGAUUGUUGAAAUUCUGAUCAUACUUGAUACGCCGGCUGUUGGAGAUGUGGCGCAUAUGGACCUUGUGCCCAUGCUUCUGCCAGCGCCUCCGGCCACUGUUCUUGCUGCCAUCCUUCAUGGACUCCCUCGUAACUUGGUGCAUUCUGAAACUUCGUCUGCCAGUAGCUUGAGCUAGGUGGUGGCACUUGUAUUUCUGGAGUUGCUUGUGAUAAUGAGCCUUUUUCUAUUCUUUGUCCUCUCUUGUCUUUCUUUGCGGGAAAUAAAAUUCCUUCUUUCCGCCAGUUAGUCUUGCCCACAUGGUAGAUUCCCCCUUCUGUCGGACAACUUGAAAUUAGUGACUCCAACUGUAUAUCCUUUCUCUCUGUCACCACCAAUUAAGUGUGCAUUUUUCAUUGUCCUAACGUCAAUGCUUCCUCCUUUAAUGAACAACUCGGGACCCUUUCGAUAUCUAGCUUCAAAAAGGAUGCAAUCAUGGUGUUUCGACGAAAAGAAACACUCCCGGGUAGGGAGCUUUCCUGACGCGUAACUAGAUAAUAUGUGCGAGUGUGCCAGUAUACUAUUGUAUACAAAAUAAAUAAUAAAGAGACAACAAAGCAUAGGGAACUCAGAUCUUUAUUAAUUCAUAGGAGAAUUACAAGUACAUGUUCCCACUGGGAUUUACAUUGAUAUUGCACCUGAAUUAACUGACUAAACAGGUCGAUGUGUAGUUCUUGGUUCCCGUGGCCUCGUGAGGCCGCCGGUUAAUUACAUGCAUUGAGCCACAGAAGACCUCCGAUUAAGCUACACUGAUGGUCGUCAUCUUGAAGUCUCCAAUUGUACAUAAGUAGAUGAGCUGUAACAUAAAAGACCAAUAACUAUGCUGUGCCAAAGCCACGUUGGUCUUCAGCAAUCUAUGUCUGGCCUUGUCAGUCAUAGAGUUCAUAUUGAAGUCUCCAAAAAUGAGUUCGGCCUCAUCGGUCACGAACAAAGAAUGUCCAGCAUCAUUGAUCAGGACUAUGUGGUUCUGGCCUCGUCGGUCACGGAAAAGUUGUAACUGAGUUAUCCCAGUCUCGUCGGUCUGGGAGAGUAGCCAAGACUUCGUAUGAACACACUGGUGUUGACAAUGCCAAAAAACGAAUGAGCUAGGAUAGCACCAUGAUUACGCUCAUAUACUCAUCAGAUAACCCGUCUUUUUUGUUUUUCUCCUUUUUUGAAAGAUUCUCACAAAUCCGCCCCUAGCGGAACCAUUUCAAAAUCUGGACCCUUAUCUUAGCGCCAUCCACGCUGGCACCAAGCUUACACGUCUCGGCACCAGCCAUCCUGGCGCCAAGGUCCAUGCGCAGCUGAUGACGUGGAUGCCGAUGUGGUCGGGGCUUGGCGCCAUCCAUCAUGGUGCCAAGCCUUGGCGUCAUAGAUCUUGGCGCCAAGCUUGGCACCGUAGAUCUUGGCGCUGAGCAAUUUAUCCUACCUGUUUGCGUUUCGAACGAAACAAGUAUAAUUAUUCUGAGGAGUGUGCAACAAACUAUGCCGCAGUUCAACUGGUUAGGAUGUGAGCUUCUUAUCCUAGAGAUAUGAGUUCAAACCCCUGUGUUGAAUCUUUGCAAAACAAAAUUUGGAAGGAACCAUCCUUUAGAGGGAAUUGUUAAAAGAUCCUUAGAAGAGCCACAUCGAGGGUAACCUGACACAAGAAUUAGAAGAAUUAGAAGAGCCACAUCGAGGGUAACCUGACACAAGAAUUAGAAGAACAUGAGUUUUGAAUUGUACUGCACUAUACAAACUCCACAAACUAUAUUAUCCUAGGAUAUGAGAUUUCGUAACAGGGGUUUGAACUCAGGUCUCUGGGAUAAGAAACCCACGUCCUAACCAGUUGAACCACAGUGUAGUUUGUUGCACACUCCUCGGAAUAAUUAUACUUAUUUCGUUCGAAACGUGAAGAGGUAUGGGUUAAAUUGCUCAGCGCCAACACGGCGCCAAGGCUUGGCGCCAUGGUGGAUGGUGCCAAGCCUUCGCCACGUCGGUAUCCGCGUCAGCAGCUGCGCAUGGACCUUGGCGCCAAGAUGGCUGGCGCCGAGACGUGUAAACUUGGUGCCAGCGUGGAUGGCGCCAAGCUAACGGUCCAGAUUUUAAAAUGGUUCCGUCAGGGACGUAUUUGUGAGAAUCUUAGGGCUAAAAAAUAAAAAAGACAGUCAGAUAACUUGUUAAGAAGACUACGGGUAGCUGAGGGUCACUCAGAUGAGUUGUGUCAUUAUCGACCUCAGGUGAUCAGUGGCGGUGCCGUGGUUCUUAUUGAAUGAUGACCUCACCAGCACGGCCAAUAUGUAACCUGUUUAGGAGAGACACAUGGCAAUGCCUUGACAUUCAGACAGCUACCGGGCUGACUUUGCUUGGUAAUACUAGCUUUAUUAAUAACUGGAGUGACUAUCAUAUCUUAGUACACCCACAAAAAGCCAGCUACUAGUUGCAUCAGGUUCACGUGUCAAAUUUGGAGGCCAUUGCUCUCACUAAUAGUGCACAAUCCACAAAAUGUGACACACGAGUGUUAAUUCUGUUGUAGCUCAAGGGCAAUCACAUGUAGUAUUCACUUUGUAGGAUCUCUCAUUGCAUAUUUACAACUGAUAGGUUUACAGAACAUGUAAAGGGCAAGUAUAUAUACUGCCACACUCUUCUUAUAUGCUAACUGUUUGAGGUAUGUGGUGCUUUUCUAUAUCUGAAUUUCUAUUGGGAAGUUCCUUGCUUCCUCACUGCUGCCUCACAUAGCCCUGCAUUGUAUGCCUUGCAUCUGUUUUACAGAGGGCGAGUGAUAGGCAGAAACCUUCUACGUGCAGCUGUGCACUAAUCUUUGCUUAGCUUGAUGAUGCGUCUGUUAUGCUCUCAGCUAGCUUGGCUGCUGCCCAGAUUAUCAGUGGCCUCACGGCUACUCUGAUCGCCUAAACUAAUUGGCCGGCAUCAUAGCCUCUUGUUGGCGAGGGCUGUAUCACCGCUGGUUCCCAUCUGCACAUCUCCGCCUAAUGGAACUGCUGCUGUCGUGACCUCUGAACAUCUGUACACCAUGCUCUUUGCUUUGUUACUAUCCUAAACAAGUUCGACGACACACGGCAAACAUCGCUGCCACCAGUGUUGUCAAGUGUAUACCACAGCCCACCUGAAACUCCAUUGACACUCUGAGUUGAGAGGCUUAUUAGCUGGAGCAUUAGCCAUUGGUUCAGUUCUGAAUUUGUAAGAUGUGCUUAUCUGACUAGCUAAUCUAAUAGGCUUCGAAUAGCAUAGCCCCUUACAGGAAGGACUGCAUCACUGCCGGCCACACAUGCGCAUAUCACUGCCUCCGCACAAGUACUACUGCCGGCCACUAUUCAUCACCAUAACCCUGUUUAUUUGCCUGCUUACUUCUAUCUAGCCUUUCUGCAUCUUGAAUGUGGCUGUACCAUUAUUCUAGUACUGCUUGGGGCACAUAUCAGGUUGUGCCCUGCUCUACAAGAUGCGCUGCUCUUGUGGUUUACUUCUCCUGCUCAUAAGGCCUAAAACUACCCUGCACCUCGACGAUGGCUGCAUUCGGCGCCACUCGGUGCCUCAACUGAACUGAUACAAAACCGGCUACUUGAUCAACUGCCAGAUGCCUCUUGACUGCCUUCUUGUUUGCCUGCGUAGUGCCUACUCCUGCCCGGUUGUCACUUCUUAAUGAUUGUGGCCAAUCUGAUUAACAAGUCUAAAUGACUUGCGUCACAGCCUCUCAUAGGGAGGACCCACAUCACUGCUGCCUUUUAUCUACACAUAUUUGCCAUCACUGAUCUGCUGCAUGCUCACCAUCAGAGAGAGGCUACUUGCAUCUGCACUGCUGUGCCUAAUCUGUCCUUAAUCUUGUGACGACCGCACUCUUGAUCUGCCAGCAAUCAACUUGUGAUCUGCCCUCUACUCACACCUUAAUCUUGUGACGACAGCUCGCUCUUGCACUUUGCACCUAUACUGCAGCCAGCCCUUGUUCUAUCUAAGAUCUGCCUCUCUCUUGUGAUGGCAUCUUAAUCUUGUGACGAACUGAACAUGUUUGCAUGCUACAUCUUGUGAAGACAGCAUCUGCACCCUGAUCUUGUGAAGACUGCUAGCACACCUAUAUCUACUACUCCAUGGCUGCUCUUUUCUAUUUUCUUCUGAAGACCGGAUCUUGUGACGAACUACAAGCGCCACUGAGGGCCUGGCGUUGCCUUGGCUUGCCUCUUCGAUGACGGUGGCAAUGGCAACCUGUACCUAGCAAAAAGAUAACCACAGAGCUGCAGCUGCUGUGGAGUCUCACCAUGUAGUGAUGCGGCCAUGGCGACGGCGGCGGCCUUGCUUCUCCUCGGCGUGACGGGCGGCGACGCUAGCGGCCUCCUUCUUUCGAUCUGUGUGUGCGCGCGCGCGCGCGUGCGCUGUGGACGGGAGCCGCCGGCAGGGCCUCGGCUUCUCUCUCCCGGUUUGUGUCUCCUCGCAAGCGAAAUAGGAUAUGGCUUUGUAUAGGCAGUGCUUAAGGUUAACGGCAGGAGGAGCGUCUGGAGUCGAGCGCCGCCGUGAUGCUGUUAGCGAGCGAGCGAUUCCUGCGGGGCAACUCCGUGGACGAGGGGCCGAGAGCUGUUGCGACGCGUUGUCAAAUUCAAACGUUGCUGAACUAGAGCCUAUCCUCUCGAUUGUUGUCUAGAAACUAGAACCACUAAGCUUUGAACGAGAGGAUAAGCACGCAAUAGCUUAUAGCUCAGGAAGAUAACAUGUGUACCUUGCCGUUCGAAGUAACGCCUGAAUGCGUGAUGGCCGAAAGAUACUGGUACUUGUACGUAUCUCAUACGCAUACGCGUACUGGACGAGCGUCAUGCAAAAAUGAAUUGUGGGCCGUUGGAAAGCUUCGAACCAAUUGGGCCAGCCUUUAUCAGUUUGUUUACUAGCCGCACAACAACAGGGUCCACGUAAUCACAAGUGGGGUCCACGUAAUCACAAGUAUACCCUCCUCAAAUAAAAAACCGUAAUCAGUCGCCACGUCGGCGGAGGCAGGCUGAAAUUGGGAAAAGGAGAGGAGGACGAUGCUCGCGUCUCGCGACGUCGGAACCCCCGGCCCCGGCGCCUCCCGCGCCGGCGUCAGCAACCCACGCCCAGCCUCCGGCCCUGAUACUCCUCGCAUCAGCGCUGCCCAGCUUGGCCCCGGUGCCGGUGCACUAUGCACUGCCGCUGGCGCCCAUGCCGCCGCCGCUAGCGCAACUCGUGCUGCCAUCAGCAACCACCCCGCACCUCCACCCCACCACAGCCGCUUUCGCCGCGACAAGCCGACGACGCGCAAUGGACUCGCCAGCGCUGCAAGAACUCCAGUCGACAAGGUCGCCGCUCGCCCGGGUUCCAAGCUCCAGGAACUUCUCCUCCACGACUUCCACUCAGUAGCUUGCCCAGGUGCUCUCCCCUCUGCUCCGGACUCUUUUAUCUGGAUCACUCCGCCGUUCCUGGCCCGGCGCUUCAACUCUGCCUAUGUAUCCUCGGUUCUCUCUUUCCAUCUCACCGCGCCCCCCCUUCUCGUCCGUUCUACCGCCGUCGCCUCCAGUGUCUUCCGCGCUCGGCUGUCAAGCGUCAAUGUUACUAACUUCAUCCUCUCGCGGGGGCAUCUCAGCUUCGCUGGCCUCAAGUUUUACCUUCACCACUCGGAAGCUCGAGCCAUGGCCACAGCCGCUUGCCUCCGCGAGGAAGACGAAGCCGUUAUUGCGGCCCACCCACCACCUGGGCCCCAGCCUGACAAGCGCGGGGCACAAGGCGCCAGUUUUCCCCAGCUCCCCCCUGGCGACCAAAUGAACGCUUUGGCAUGUCAGAAACCUGCGGCUGGGUACUUUUCGCGGAUCCAGAAGGAUACGCCCUUUACUCCAAGCGCUGACCUCGGCCUGCUCCCCCUGCCGAAACACGCCUCCCGCCGCUCAGAUGUGACCGGGAGCGGCGACACCGACCGCGACAUCGCGUCCGCGUUCACUGCGCCGCCCACCCCUGGCGCUCAACCCUAUCUUCUCGCUGCGCGCGCACUUGCCUCCUUAACUCCGACGCCCGAGCGACGACACCCAAAACCCAUCCCCCUCCACCACGGCGGCUGCCAUCGCUGCCUUUCUCGUGACCACCGCGUUCAAGACUGUAGAGACCCUAUACGCUGCCGUUUCUGUCGUGGGUCUGGGCACCGCGCCUACGCUUGCCCCAUGGCGUUCCCACGUGAGCAGACUCCUCACCCCCGCCGCCGCCCCACCAUUCCCCUCCCCGCGUCUUGUGUGUCGAUCAACGCGGUCCCCUUCCUCCCCCGCAGCUCGCCUCUGCCUUCUGCCACGCCAACGCUGCCGCCCACCCCGCUCAACCUCCCUCCUUUCACCACGGCCUUUGACCCGCUGCGUAUGCUCGCCUCCACAAGCCGCGCCCCCGCGGUCGCGGAGCGAGUGGCUGAACUGCGCCCCCCCGCCUCGGAGGAGGGGCCGUUCUACCUCGGCGACCUCUUCUGCGAGCCCCUGGACAAGGGCAAGCACGUGGCGUCUGGUGACCCCUCCUUCCCCCAGCUCCGCGCGUCGCAUGCCAUCCCUCAAGCGUGCGACAUCCGAGUCGUCGGUGCCGCCUCUCCGCGUCGCGCGUCUGGUGCCAACACGCCCGCCCCCAGGCGCUCGCCUCCCCCGACGCCGUCGGCUGGUCCCACUGCGCCGGUGGCCCCUGUGUCUCCGCGACAGGGCGCGUCCAGCACAUCAGCGAGCAUGUCCGCCGGUGAGGCUGACAGCCCCCUGGAGGAGGAGUCGGUGGACAGUGAUGCCUUCGACGACGGCCCCGACUACCUGGAGGUCUGGGUCAACGAAGGCGACUGGGAGCACGCCUCCCGCUUUGCCUUUGUCUAUGUGGCCCCCCUAGCUGCUGCCGCGGCCCCCUCCCCCCUGAUCCACGCUGCGCUCCACGUCGCAGCGCCGCACCUGCAUUUCCAGCUGCUCCCGUCGCCCCGUGGUGUGGCACUGCUACACUUUGGCUCCCCCGCGGCGCAGGAGAUGGCAAUGGACGUGCAGCCGGUGCACCUCAACGGCGCCACUGUCACUCUCGAGCACGUGGAGGAAACUGAUGAUCGCUUCGUCCGUGUGCUAGAGUGGCUUGCGCAUGUUGCCAUCUGGAAUCUCCCCCCCGAACACUGGUCGAUCGAGCAGGUGCGUGACAUCCUUCGCUGUGUCGGCACCCUCAUCGAAGAGGAUCCUUUUUGCAGCCCUGGCUUCGACCGUUCCUGCAUGCGCGUGGUGAUUGAGCUGCAGCACCCUCGUCUCCCCAGCCGCCUCGGCGUCCACACCCCGAGCGGCCACGGCGUCGUUCUGCGCCUGGGCGGUCUGGCCUUCUGGCCGCGCGAGCAGCAGUUCGAGGAGGCGGGGGACUGGAUCCCAUUCUUCGGCCCAACUCCGCCACCACCGCCACCUCCCCACAACAACGGCCUGCCCCCCACUCUGCCGCCUACCAACCCAGCGCCUCCACCCCCACCAGCCGCACACCCGCCAGAGCAGCCGCAUCCCGCGCCGCUUCACCCAGCCUCGUUCAUUGGUGCCUCAAUCCUUUGCCACGGCUUCAUAAAUCCUUUCCCCCUGCCGCCCCUGCCCACUUUUCCCAUCCUGAUCCAGUUACCCCCCUCGGGUGCCAGUGGAGACCUGGGAGGCUACGGUGCCAGGCCGGUCCUGCUCCUCACCUGGCGCCCCACCGCGCCUGAACCAUGCCCGCCACCCACACCGCCCAACACACCGUUGCCAGCGCGCUCCCCCUCAACCCCGCCACCUGCAACAUCAGAUGCGCCCCCGCGCUACCCAUCUCGCCCACCCCCCCGCAAACGCCAUAGCGCCCGCCUAGCAGCAAAGGAAGAUGGAAAAUUCGUGGAUGCCACCUCCAAAGCAGCCCAGCUCAAAGCUCUCUGCGAUAGCCUCGCUCUCUGUUCGUCUGCAGUUCAAGCCCAUGUUGCUAAGAAGAAACUGCUGACGAAGAGGAAGAAGCCAAUCUCUGGAGCGGAUUUAGUGAAGCUUGCUGAUGCUGUGGGGCUCGGUCAGGAGACGGCCAAAGCUCUGGACCGAGUCCUUGCCAUCGGGAAGGCCACUGCUGCUCAGCUGAACAAGGUGCUUGACGCCCCCAAUGCCUGAAUUCCAGAAGACUUGCACUCGUUUCUGCUGUUUGCCCAUUCUUUGCAGAAACGUCAGUUACCUGUCCGCCUGUGUGCUUCUGUUGCUUCUUUGCCGUGAGUCUCGUGUCUGGUCCUCCAGUGUCUUAGCUCCUUGUCUUGUGCCCCUUUUAGAUGUUCUUCUGCUUUUGAUCUGGUGUUGUAAUUGUACUUAUGAAUCUUAAUUUUAGUUCCUUUUCCCUUCUAUCCUGGAAUGUUCGUGGUCUCGGAGAUCCGCAAAAGUGCACGGUUGUUAAAGACUCUAUCUCCUCCUCGCAUCCUAGCAUUGUUUGUCUGCAGGAAUCCAAGCUGCGUGCCCUAGAUGGCCUCAAGGCUCGUUCCUUCCUGCCCCCAGCCAUCACCGCCUUCCGCUGUGUUGACGCUUUAGACACGCGAGGUGGGAUCAUCACUGCGUGGGAUCCGACGAUUUUCGCCGCUGAUUCUUUCAUCACUCGACGCCAUACUCUCACUGUUUUUCUUUCCUCCACGGCCUCCAACUACUCCUUCGCCGUUACUAACAUCUAUGCUCCCGCGGACCAUCGCGACUCUCUGCCCUUCCUUGAAGACCUGCGUUAACUCACCCAGCACAUCUCGGGGAGCUGGGCGUUGGUGGGCGACUUUAACCUUACCAGGAGUGACCAAGAAAACAGCAAUGGCUCCUCCCACCCCGGCCUCUGUGAUGCCUUCAACGCUACUAUUGACGCGCUCUCCCUCCUUGACCUGCCUCUCCUGGACCGCCUUUUCACCUGGUCUAAUCACCGCGCUUCCCCUACGCUCGCCCGCCUUGACCGCGCUCUCUUCAAUCUCGCGAUGAACACAACCUUCCCGAACUCCUCCCUGUGUUCCUUACCAAAAACUACCUCGGAUCACACCCCCCUCCUCCUCCAACUGUCCACCUCUAUCCCGAAAGCAAACAUUUUCCGUUUUGAAAACUCCUGGCUUCAAGAUACAAACUACCUCCCUACCAUCCUGCCAGCUUGGACUCAGAACGGCGGCUUUGAUGCGGCUGGCGUGAUUGCUCGUGCGCUCAAGGCAGUCCGCUAUGCGUCUAAGGCUUGGGCGCGAUGUAAGCGUGCUCCUCCCGCUCUCCCUUCCAAUUGCAAGUUCGUCAUUUUCCUGCUUGAUGUGCUCGAAGACUUUCGCUGUCUUUCUCCAGGUGAAGCGCUGCUGCGUCGGGCGUGUCAAGACAGACUUGCACUAGUGCUGCGUGAACGGGCUGCGUUCUGGAAACAACGCGGCAAGUUCCGCGCGAUGCGAGAAGGCGAUGCGAACACGCGGUUUUUCCACGCGCAGGCCACCACCCGGCUGCGCCGGAAUAACAUCCGCACUCUGAACAUCAAUGGAGUAGUGCUGAGCUCGCACCAGGAGAAGAUGACGGCUCUCACGGUACACCUCCGGAGCUUGCUCGCCGAGCGCGCGGUGAACCUGAGCGGGGUCGACCUUGUAUCCUUGUACUCAGGCUUGUCGCGCGCGGCGAGCGCCCCGCUCCUUGCCCCCUUCACCGAAAAUGAAGCGCGAGCAGCUGUCCGCGCGAUGAACAGGACAGGCUCCCCGGGCCUCGACGGGUUUGGCCCCUCCUUCUAUGCCGCUGCUUGGGACACGGUACGCCACGCGGUGAUGGCGCUUGCGCAGGCGUUCCAGGAGGGGACUGCCGAGCUCGAGCGUAUCAACCGUGCCUACAUUGUCAUGAUACCGAAGCAUGCGGCAGCAAUGUCGCCGGGCGACUACAGGCCGAUCUGCUUGCAAAAUUGCUCCCUCAAGAUCGUCUCCAAAAUGAUGACUUCCUGGCUCCAGUGUCAGAUCUCCAAGCUGGUUGACCCCGACCAAACAGGCUUCAUCAAGGGGCGUUCAAUCUCUGAAAAUUUCAUCUAUGCAACUGAGUUGGUCCGGUGCUGCCAUAGACGAAGACUGCCUACUGUGGUCCUGAAGCUGGACUUUGCAAAAGCAUUUGAUUCAGUCGAUUGGCGUUGCCUGGCUGCCGUUCUCGCCGCUCGGGGCUUCCCUGCGCAAUGGACUGCGUGGACUCUCUCGUUGCUGCACAGUUCCAAACUUGCGGUACUGAUGAAUGGGGUGCCUGGGCCAUGGUUUCCCUGCAAACGCGGUCUUCGACAGGGUGAUCCACUGUCUCCUUACCUAUUCCUGCUCGUCUCAGAUGUGCUCCAACAAAUGAUCAAGCAAGACCGCAGAAUACUCCACCCGGCCAACUCUGACCAGCCGUGCCCGGUGUUACAAUAUGCGGACGACACUUUGAUCCUCAUGCAGGCCGGUCAAGAUAGUGUGGUGGCCCUGAAGCAAGUGCUGGAACUCUUCUCUGAUCUCACUGGGCUGCACAUAAACUUUAGCAAAAGCACCAUGGUUCCUUUGAAUGUUGACAUACAUCAGGCAACUGCCUUGCAGCGGGUCCUUGGCUGCCAGCUCGGUUCUUUCCCUCAAUCUUACUUGGGGCUCCCCUUAUCGAAUGAGAAGCUCAAACUCUCGGCCUUCACCCCUCUGAUUGCCCGGGCAGACCGACGGCUCAGUGGAUGGCGCGCCUGCCUCCUCAAUUCCACAGGGCGAGCUGUGCUGAUAAACAGCGUCAUGGACAGCCAGCUGACGUAUGCAAUGUCCGUUCUCCUCCUCCCCCCUGGUGUGGUGGAUGCUUUAAACCAUCGACGCCGAAGUUUUCUUUGGGCUGGAGAGGAUACGGUCAGUGGUGCUCAAUGUCUUGUCGCCUGGGAACAUGCCUGUCGGUCGAAAAAGCAAGGGGGGCUAGGCAUCAAGGAGCUUGGCGCGAAGAACCAGAGUUUGUUGCUGAAGCUUCUGCACCGCAUCUACCGGCCGGGGGAGUCCUCCUGGGCGCAAUGGGUACGCGAGAGGAUCAAUCUCGCCUCGCUACAAGGAUCCCUGGAAGGGGUCCAUUGGGCAGCUCUGGGCAGCGUGCUACCGCUAUACCGUGCUGUCACGAGCUCUGAAGUUGGCAAUGGCGAGAGCACGAGCUUCUGGCAGGACAGAUGGCUAUCGGUUGGUCGACUGGCUGCACUAUAUCCUGCUCUGUACUCCCACACUACACACCCGGAAGCCUCGGUGUCGCAGGUCAUUGCCGACGGGAUUCACAGGCACCUAAUGCCCAGGCUGACCCAUGCGGUUGCUGCUGAACUAGAUGAUCUGAACCUCAAGAUUGACCAUAUUGCCCUGGGCAAUGCCGAAGACCAACGACAUAGCGCCCUAGCCCCGCCAAACGCGCCCUUCCAAUCUGGUGCUGCCUACAAUAACAUCAUGGAAGCGACUGGCCCCCCUACCUGCACCUUUGCCAAUUUUGUUUGGUCCAACCGAGCACCCCCUCGCGUGCAGUUCUUCGCCUGGCUGAUGGUUCAGGAACGGAUCAGCUGCCGUGCAAAUCUUGUCAAGAAGCACAUCCUAGCUGACCCGGCGUGUGAGCUGUGUGGCCAGCCAGAAGAUUGCGAUCAUCUGAUCCUCCGCUGCCGUUUUGCUGUUCAAGUCUAGUCGGCGCUGCCCGCCGAUACAACUGGGGUUUCGGUCCGCUGUCUAUGGAACAUCCCCCAUCCCACGACGGUGUCGAGCCGCCACUACUCCAGUUUCAUUCUUCUCGUCUGUUGGUUGCUAUGGAAAUCCCGUAAUGAGCUUGUUUUCCAGAACAUUACCCCGUCGGUCGGACGCUUCUGGCUCGCAUGCCACGACGAAGCCCGGCUAUGGAGCCACCGACUAAAGAUCGAGGACCGCCAGAUAGCGGAUGCCUGGUGCUUACUCUUUAGUUCAAUGUAAACUAAUGUAAUCUUCAUCCCUCCCCCCACCUCGUUUAUUGCUUAACAUCUAAUGUACUUGCAUUUGGCCAUCCUUUGGGCCCUAUAAUGAAAUCAGGUGGGGCACUCCCCCCCCACCCCGUUGACCCCUCAAAAAAAAACCGUAAUCACAAGUAUACAGUCUCAAAUACAUGGCCAUGCAAAGGGUACGUGAAAGUGCCCAUAGCUCCAUUAAGGUAGCGUAUAAAUCUUUGCUGUUAAACACACCUUCCGUAACC